rnacentral:rRNA from 1 species
UGGACUUGCUCCUGAUGUUACGGCGGNGGGUGAGUACACGUGGGUACCUGCCUGUAAGACUGGGAUAACUCCGGGAAACCGGGGCUAAUACCGGAUGCUUGUUUGAACCGCAUGGUUCAAACAUAAAAGGUGGCUUCGGCUACCACUUACAGAUGGACCCGCGGCGCAUUAGCUAGUUGGUGAGGUAACGGCUCACCAAGGCAACGAUGCGUAGCCGACCUGAGAGGGUGAUCGGCCACACUGGGACUGAGACACGGCCCAGACUCCUACGGGAGGCAGCAGUAGGGAAUCUUCCGCAAUGGACGAAAGUCUGACGGAGCAACGCCGCGUGAGUGAUGAAGGUUUUCGGAUCGUAAAGCUCUGUUGUUAGGGAAGAACAAGUACCGUUCGAAUAGGGCGGUACCUUGACGGUACCUAACCAGAAAGCCACGGCUAACUACGUGCCAGCAGCCGCGGUAAUACGUANGUGGCAAGCGUUGUCGA